GCGGAAGUGGUGGAACUGGUAGACACGCUAUCUUGAGGGGGUAGUGGAUAUUCAUCCGUGCGGGUUCGAGUCCCGCCUUCCGCA
rnacentral:tRNA from 1 species